CCUACGGGUGGCUGCAGUGAGGAAUAUUGGUCAAUGGGCGCGAGCCUGAACCAGCCAAGUCGCGUGAAGGAUGACUGUCCUGAGUGUUGUAAACUUCUUUUAUCAGGGAAUAAAGUCAGGCACGUGUGCCUUUAUGUAUGUACUUUAUGAAUAAGCAUCGGCUAACUCCGUGCCAGCAGCCGCGGUAAUACGGAGGAUCCGAGCGUUAUCCGGAUUUAUUGGGUUUAAAGGGAGCGUAGAUGGGUUGUUAAGUCAGUUGUGAAAGUGUGGGGCUCAACCGUAAAACCGCAGUUGAUACUGGCAGUCUUGAGUAGAGUAGAGGUAGGCGGAAUGCGUGGUGUAGCGGUGAAAUGCUUAGAUAUCGCGCAGAACUCCGAUUGCGAAGGCAGCAUGCUA
rnacentral:rRNA from 1 species